rnacentral:rRNA from 1 species
GCAGUCGACGAUGACCGGUUUCGGCCGGGGAUUAGUGGCGAACGGGUGAGUAACACGUGGGCAAUCUGCCCUGCACUCUGGGACAAGCCCUGGAAACGGGGUCUAAUACCGGAUAUGACCACCGGCCGCAUGGUCUGGUGGUGGAAAGCUCCGGCGGUGCAGGAUGAGCCCGCGGCCUAUCAGCUUGUUGGUGGGGUGAUGGCCUACCAAGGCGACGACGGGUAGCCGGCCUGAGAGGGCGACCGGCCACACUGGGACUGAGACACGGCCCAGACUCCUACGGGAGGCAGCAGUGGGGAAUAUUGCACAAUGGGCGCAAGCCUGAUGCAGCGACGCCGCGUGAGGGAUGACGGCCUUCGGGUUGUAAACCUCUUUCAGCAGGGAAGAAGCGCGAGUGACGGUACCUGCAGAAGAAGCACCGGCUAACUACGUGCCAGCAGCCGCGGUAAUACGUAGGGUGCGAGCGUUGUCCGGAAUUAUUGGGCGUAAAGAGCUCGUAGGCGGCCUGUCGCGUCGGAUGUGAAAGCCCGGGGCUUAACCCCGGGUCUGCAUUCGAUACGGGCAGGCUAGAGUUCGGCAGGGGAGAUUGGAAUUCCUGGUGUAGCGGUGAAAUGCGCAGAUAUCAGGAGGAACACCGGUGGCGAAGGCGGAUCUCUGGGCCGAUACUGACGCUGAGGAGCGAAAGCGUGGGGAGCGAACAGGAUUAGAUACCCUGGUAGUCCACGCCGUAAACGUUGGGCACUAGGUGU